rnacentral:rRNA from 1 species
GUAGGUCCCGAGCGUUGUCCGGAUUUAUUGGGCGUAAAGCGAGCGCAGGCGGUUAGAUAAGUCUGAAGUUAAAGGCUGUGGCUUAACCAUAGUAUGCUUUGGAAACUGUUUAACUUGAGUGCAGAAGGGGAGAGUGGAAUUCCAUGUGUAGCGGUGAAAUGCGUAGAUAUAUGGAGGAACACCGGUGGCGAAAGCGGCUCUCUGGUCUGUAACUGACGCUGAGGCUCGAAAGCGUGGGGAGCAAACAGGAUUAGAUACCCUGGUAGUCCACGCCGUAAACGAUGAGUGCUAGGUGUUAGGCCCUUUCCGGGGCUUAGUGCCGCAGCUAACGCAUUAAGCACUCCGCCUGGGGAGUACGACCGCAAGGUUG